UCAGGAAUAGCACAACACUUUAGUGCAGGUUUAUAUGACAUCCAAACAACCUGAAGUGAAAGGACUGGUGGACCAGACAGAGAACUACACCACCUUCAACCUGCUUUGGCUCAAUACCAAUAGAGGGAUGAUGCUGAAUUAGUAACAGACCAGAACAGUGUGAACCAAGACUGGUAUAAAAAAACAUAAAAGCUUAUAAAUUAUAAUAAAUAAAAUAAUAGCAAAAUGUACUGGAGUUUCUCCGCUGCGGACAAUGUAAAGACAUCUUAUUGCGUUCUUUUUGCAUUGAGUAAAUCAAUGCCUUGUCUGG